UAUGGACAAUGGGAUGCAAUAUUAACACCCAGAUCCUCUAUCACUAACACAUACUCUACGCAUUCCAGCAGAACCAGGUAUAACGCCUGAUACUUCAGGGUGGGUGUUUGCUCUUGAUUGAGAACAAUCAUCGAUAAUAAGCCAAAACAUCACAUGCUAGAUCUCAGUAAGACACGCUUUUACUACCAAAGGUUUGUAUAACAUUACCCCCCCCAAUCACCUCUAUAGUCGGCUGCUAACGUGGCUCCACCUCGGGCUCCAACAGCAUUGGCUCCAGUGUCACAGUCAUAUGUGCUUGCCAUAUUUGUACUAUGACAUUGUGUGGUGUAUCGGUCUCGCUUCUUCAGCAGUGGUAAUCCAUUAAGCACAUCAUCUGUCAAGUUGAUUAUCCAUGUAGCAUCAUCCGCAGAUUGAGUUACCAAAGUUCUGAGUAGAACUAUCCUGGAAAUCUCUCCGUCAUUAUAAAGUUCAUGG
rnacentral:lncRNA from 1 species